CAAAACAACCUAUAUGAUGAGAGCUUUGCAAUCAAGAACCGGUAUAUUAGGAAGAGCCGGAAGAGGUAUGACAGGAAGCCAACGUUGUUUCUCUGUCGUCGAUGCUUAUAAUGGUUCUGCUGACUGGUUGUUUUUG
rnacentral:snoRNA from 1 species